CACGUAGGCACCAAGCGUUGUCCGGAUUUAUUGGGCGUAAAGAGCUCGUAGGCGGUUCAGUAAGUCGGGUGUGAAAACUUUGGGCUUAACCCAAAGCGUGCAUCUGAUACUGCUGUGACUUGAGUUCGGUAGGGGAGUGGGGAAUUCCUAGUGUAGCGGUGAAAAUGCGCAGAUAUUAGGAGGAACACCGGUGGCGAAGGCGCCACUCUGGGCCGAAACUGACGCUGAGGAGCGAAAGCAUGGGUAGCAAACAGG
rnacentral:rRNA from 1 species